GACGAACGCUGGCGGCGUGCUUAACACAUGCAAGUCGAACGGAAAGGCCCUGCUUUUGUGGGGUGCUCGAGUGGCGAACGGGUGAGUAACACGUGAGUAACCUGCCCUUGACUUUGGGAUAACUUCAGGAAACUGGGGCUAAUACCGGCUAGGAGCUCCUGCUGCAUGGUGGGGGUUGGACAGUUUCGGCGGUUGGGGAUGGACUCGCGGCUUAUCAGCUUGUUGGUGGGGUAGUGGCUUACCAAGGCUUUGACGGGUAGCCGGCCUGGGAGGGUGACCGGCGACAUUGGGACUGAGAGACGGCCCAGACUCCUACGGGAGGCAGUAGGGGGGAAUAUGGCACAAUGGGCGGAAGCCUGAUGCAGCAACGCCGCGUGUGGGAUGACGGUCUUCGGGUUGUAAACCGCUUUCGCCUGUGACGAAGCGUGAGUGACGGUAAUGGGUAAAGAAGCACCGGCUAACUACGUG
rnacentral:rRNA from 1 species